UGCAUUUCAGCUGCCUCCUUACUGUUCUCCAUCCAGUUUCACAGGUACCCUGUGAGAGUCUGGUUCAGUCAAAGUACUACAUAGGGCUGUUUUAACAUGUUUUAACUCUGAAGUCCCCAGGCUUGGUUUAUUAAUUCUCCAGAGACCUAUAUUAGUGCCAGUCAAGGGAACCUAGCCCAUAAGAGAAAGGAUGACAGUAAAGUGCUAAUUGCAUUAUAGCUCAAAUGUCUUGAGAUGAUUGCAGGCUGUGAAGCUCCUCCAAAUGCAGGCAUGCAAGCUUAUCGACAUUGCACACAUCCUGGUAGCUGACCUACAAAACGACAGACUCAUCAGCUGAACGAGCUGCUAUCAGAUAAUAUUAGCUGGCAGACAUCUCCAAAGAAACAGUCGGCAUCUGCAGAGCCCCGGAGGGAAAAUCAAAACAUUUCCAUCUGAAACCAAGCAGAGCAGCUGGCCACACCAGUCCUGGACUAUCCAAGAAGCCCCAAGCCUUGGCAUUGAUCCAGGACUGUCAAUGCAGUCCAUUGAUCCAGGACUGUCAACACUCAGCGAGCAUCUCGGCCACCCCUGGCACUGCUCCCCAU
rnacentral:lncRNA from 1 species